CGAAUCCACCGUGGAAUUUCAGUAUCAUGCAUUGUUUCUUCAGAAACAUCCAAAACCAACCUAAAAUAAGAGGCAGAAGCCAGGGCUUUGAUUUCUUGCCCACAGCUUAGGAGCAAGUUAAAAGUCUAAAGGCCAUAAAAACGGAUGUAGAAAUUUAGCAGAAGAUCAAUCACAGCGGCAAAUCCAUUAAGGGAGCUAUUGUCUUCAUUGAUAUUUUUAUGACUAUUUGGUGUCUUCUGCAUAUUCACACACAGAGCUAUCUCAUCCUAGACAUGAGAAAUUCUAAUGUCAAUCAAGUUCUCAACAAUCUUAUGUUCAAGGCAGCUGUGUCAUCUGUGUGAAUGACACUUCAUGGAGUUGUGCAGUGCACAACCUGUGCAUCAACACAUGGUGUCCCCAAUCAUACACCUGCAAAUAUUAUUGAAAUCCAAAACCUCUUUUAUUUGUUAAAGGCGUAACUCAUAUAGUAGUAUCAGGUCAGAAUGGUUACUUAUGAAAUAAAACUGUAAAGAUAAACAUCAUUAUUACUUUCUGAAAUGCGCACACAAAUAGAGACAAACGGAAUUUAGCCUUUGGCUCGGAUACACAAAAACAUUUAUUUUUUUUCCAGUUAAUUUAGUUUUAUGGCUUCUUAUAAAGAGGAGUAGAAGAGUUCUUAAAAUUCAAAAAUUGACCUUUGCUUUUGUAGUGGAAUUUGUAGACACAUUCUUUUCAGAAAAUGACAGAAAAAAUACUAUAUCAUUUCUAAAUUGUGGCAGGAUAGGAUGAGCACAGGGGUCAAAGUCCUCCUGAUGCAGGUUUACACCCCUUGUUGCUUCGCUUUGUAUAUGUGGCUUUGGAAAAAAUCACUCCUACUCUUUAGUUUUUCUCAUCAGUGAAAUGGAAAUGACAAUGCCUAUCUUUGAAGAUCAUUUGUGAUGAUUAAAAUAUGGAAACUAUUUGCCUUAUAAUGGGUAUUCUAUCAGUGUUCACAAUCAUUACUGUAGGUAGUAAUAAGAUCCUUUAUCAGAUACAACAGUCACUCCAGCUCCCUUGCUUCCAUAGACUAAAUGUUUACUGUAUGCUGGAUACUGUGCUUGGCACUUGGAAUGUAGCAACCAGUAGAUUAUAAUAAAGGUAUCUGCCCUCAUAUGGCUGCCAGUCUAGAGCAUUUCUAUUUUUAUGAGAAGAUUAUAUCAAAUAAUGACAGGUGCCUCAAUGAUGACUCCUUUAUUUUGAGUACCUUGGCAAAUAUAGCAGUUGAAGCCUACAAGAAGAGUUUCUCGGCCAAAGAGAAUAUAUAUCUCCAGUGUAGAUAUGUUUAUGGAACAUGCUAUUCCAGGGUUCUUGGAUACUAGACACCAGCACUAAGGAAGUGCUGGAUUCAUUGCAGACUGAAAUCGAUUUAGGUGUAUGGGGAAGCACACUCUUAUCCCUUGUGAUGUUACCGUGGUGGGUGUGCAUACCUCCUGACCAACUAUUAACACACAUUUACCAGAUAAGAGGUGGGGUGGGUGCAUCAGCCGGCAUCUGAUGUCUCAGCUCCAACAUAAUGGAGGCUAUGACAGAGCCCUCAUCCCCACAAAUUCUCUUCCUAAAUUCACAAAGACGCUGAGGAAAAGCACAAUUGUAAAUGUCAGAGAUCCCCUAAAAGAUGAAACAUGGUUGUCUGUGAAAUGAGCAGUGUAAAUGGUGACAUGCAUCAAUGAUUUCAUCCAUGCAGCCACUGUGCAAAAAAUCACAUUUUUUUGUGCAGAUAGACACUAAACCCAAAUAUAAAUUAUCGUUUCCCUAAGAGAGGGAGAAAGCAGGCAUGUGUGUUUUUUGUGUGUGUGCAUGCAUACGUGAUGUGUGUGUGAGAAAGAUCUAUUUCAUGCCCUCGUGGUGUGGACUGAGCCCCAAGACUCAUGACUGAGGCACCAUUAGGGGCCACUUGGUGACAGACAGUCCUGUAGAUUACAAAGAAUGUGGAUCGUGUCAUUAUCUCCGAAGUGACUCACAGGUGGGGAAGUAGGAACAAGAUAAACAGUAAACUAAAAGAAAUUAGCAAGAAAAAAAA
ensembl:lncRNA